rnacentral:rRNA from 1 species
CCGUCUUGAAACACGGACCAAGGAGUNUAACAUGUGCGCGAGUCACUCGGUCUUGAUUAGGCCAGAGAGGCGCAAUGAAGGUGAAUUGUGUGUGUGUGCAAACACACACACUUACUGUUACGAUCCGGACAAUCCAGUUGUCUCUCCGGGGACGACUGUUGCCCGGCGCAGUAACGGCCUGCCAAUUUCGCCUAUUGACGAUCUGGCAGAGUUGUAGCGUACACGUUGGUACCCGAAAGAUGGUGAACUAUGCCCGGGCAAGACGAAGCCAGAGGAAACUCUGGUGGAGGUCUGUAGCGAUUCUGACGUGCAAAUCUAUCGUCCGACCUGGGUAUAGGGGCGAAAGACUAAUCAAACCAUCUAGUAGCUGGUUCCUUCC